CCUACGGGUUGCAGCAGUGGGGAAUAUUGCACAAUGGGCGAAAGCCUGAUGCAGCAACGCCGCGUGAGCGAUGAAGGCCUUCGGGUCGUAAAGCUCUGUCCUCAAGGAAGAUAAUGACGGUACUUGAGGAGGAAGCCCCGGCUAACUACGUGCCAGCAGCCGCGGUAAUACGUAGGGGGCUAGCGUUAUCCGGAAUUACUGGGCGUAAAGGGUGCGUAGGUGGUUUCUUAAGUCAGAGGUGAAAGGCUACGGCUCAACCGUAGUAAGCCUUUGAAACUGGGAAACUUGAGUGCAGGAGAGG
rnacentral:rRNA from 1 species